CCGAGUAAAGAGUAAGAGUUUGAGAUCUAUGGUUAGGGAUCUUUGGUACGAGAUGAAGGUGGUUAGGAUAGAGAAGGAGUUUAGGGCAUGACGGUGGUGGAGACGGAGGAGGUAGGGUUCGGAGAUUAAGGAGUUAAAUUGCUUUGAAACUAAUCGGAGUUGUUGUAAUGUUUUGCCCGGAAGAAAAGAGAGGAUUUUGAGAAUAAUUUCCGGAGGCAGAGAAGAAGAAAACAUCUUUCCAAGUAAAUGGAGAAAUCUUGAAUGUGAAUGCGAAUAUAGGAGUAUGUAAUUUUAUGAUUUUGUUUGCCAAGGAUAUAGGUUAGGAAGUUUAAGUAUGAGAAAGUCAAAGUAUUCCGAUUUACUUUUAUUUAUUCGUAAAUUUUAGAUUUGAUUGAUGC
rnacentral:lncRNA from 1 species